rnacentral:rRNA from 1 species
UGGGGAAUAUUGCACAAUGGAGGGAACUCUGAUGCAGCGACGCCGCGUGAACGAAGAAGGCUUUCGAGUCGUAAAGUUCUUUUAUAUGGGAAGAUAAUGACGGUACCAUAAGAAAAAGCCCCGGCUAACUACGUGCCAGCAGCCGCGGUAAUACGUAGGGGGCUAGCGUUUUCCGGAAUCACUGGGCGUAAAGGGUUCGCAGGCGGAAAUGCAAGUCAGGUGUAAAAGGCAGUAGCUUAACUACUGUAAGCAUUUGAAACUGCAUAUCUUGAGAAGAGUAGAGGUAAGUGGAAUUUUUAGUGUAGCGGUGAAAUGCGUAGAUAUUAAAGAGAAUACCGGUGGCGAAGGCGACUUACUGGGGUCAUUCUGACGCUGAGGAACGAAAGCGUGGGUAGGAAACAGG